rnacentral:tRNA from 2 species
GCACUAGUAGCUCAGCUUCAGAGCAUUG